GACGAACGCUGGCGGCGUGCUUAACACAUGCAAGUCGAACGGAAAGGCCCUGCUUUUGUGGGGUGCUCGAGUGGCGAACGGGUGAGUAACACGUGAGUAACCUGCCCUUGACUUUGGGAUAACUUCAGGAAACUGGGGCUAAUACCGGAUAGGAGCUCCUGCUGCAUGGUGGGGGUUGGAAAGUUUCGGCGGUUGGGGAUGGACUCGCGGCUUAUCAGCUUGUUGGUGGGGUAGUGGCUUACCAAGGCUUUGACGGGUAGCCGGCCUGAGAGGGUGACCGGCCACAUUGGGACUGAGAUACGGCCCAGACUCCUACGGGAGGCAGCAGUGGCGAAUAUUGCACGAUGGGCGGAAGCCUGAUGCAGCAACGCCGCGUGCGGGAUGACGGCCUUCGGGUUGUAAACCGCUUUCGCCUGUGACGAAGCGUGAGUGACGGUAAUGGGUAAAGAAGCACCGGCUAACUACGUG
rnacentral:rRNA from 1 species